UCCCCGGUAGCUCAACGGUAGAGCGGCGCGCUGUUAACGCGAAGGUUGCUGGUUCGAAUCCAGCCCGGGGAG
rnacentral:tRNA from 1 species